rnacentral:lncRNA from 1 species
CACAAGUGAAAAAAAACCCACACACACAAAAAAAAAAACCAUUUAUUUUCUGCUGGUUUAGCAAACAGACAAGAUUCUUCAAGGUGAUUGUUAGAUCUGACGCAAGGUAGCUGGGGGUGGGAGCAGGCUAAACUUGGACAACUUUUGGUGGCUGCCUGCUAUGAUAUUGAGUCUGAACACAAGAAAAGGAGGGAGCAGAUAAGCAGAG